GUGUCAGCCGCCGCGGUAAUACGAAGGGGGCUAGCGUUGUUCGGAAUUACUGGGCGUAAAGCGCACGUAGGCGGGUCGUUAAGUCAGGGGUGAAAUCCCGGAGCUCAACUCCGGAACUGCCUUUGAUACUGGCGAUCUAGAGAUCGGAAGAGGUGAGUGGAAUUCCCAGUGUAGAGGUGAAAUUCGUAGAUAUUGGGAAGAACACCAGUGGCGAAGGCGGCUCACUGGUCCGAUACUGACGCUGAGGUGCGAAAGCGUGGGGAGCAAACAGGAUUAGAAACCCGCGUAGUCC
rnacentral:rRNA from 1 species